UACGUAGGGUGCGAGCGUUGUCCGGAAUUAUUGGGCGUAAAGGGCUCGUAGGCGGUUUGUCACGUCGGGAGUGAAAACUCGGGGCUUAACCCCGAGCCUGCUUCCGAUACGGGCAGACUAGAGGUAUGCAGGGGAGAACGGAAUUCCUGGUGUAGCGGUGAAAUGCGCAGAUAUCAGGAGGAACACCUAUAGCGAAGGCAGCUUGCUGGGACGUUACUGAGCUAAGGCGCGAAAGCGUGGGGAGCGAACGAGG
rnacentral:rRNA from 1 species